rnacentral:tRNA from 1 species
AGAGUUUGAUCCUGGCUCAGGACGAACGCUGGCGGCGUGCCUAAUACAUGCAAGUAGAACGCUGAAGGAGGAGCUUGCUUCUCUGGAUGAGUUGCGAACGGGUGAGUAACGCGUAGGUAACCUGCCUGGUAGCGGGGGAUAACUAUUGGAAACGAUAGCUAAUACCGCAUAAGAGUGGAUGUUGCAUGACAUUUGCUUAAAAGGUGCANGUCUUAAGCAAUGAACGAUUUCGAGGGCGUCAAAGAGUAUUAAGAGACUUACGCAUUGUGUUUAAGGAGUUUACUAUCCGUACCCACUAGGAAGUCAUGCAAAAAAAAUGAAAAAAAUUAGAAAAAGUAGUUGACAAAGUUUGAAAAGACUGUAUAAUAGUAAGAGUUGAAAAUAACAACUCAGGUCCGUUGGUCAAGGGGUUAAGACACCGCCUUUUCACGGCGGUAACACGGGUUCGAAUCCCGUACGGACUAUGGUAUGUUGCGGUUGGAACACUUGAUGAAAAAAAGUUUAAAAAAACUUAAAAAUCUUCAAAAAAGUGUUGACAAGCGAAAGCAGUUGUGAUAUACUAAUAUAGUUGUCGCUUGAGAGAAGCAAGUGACAAAGACCUUUGAAAACUGAACAAGACGAACCAAUGUGCAGGGCGCUACAACAUAAGUUGUAGUACUGAACAAUGAAAAAACAAUAAAUCUGUCAGUGACAGAAAUGAGUGAGAACUCAAACUUUUAAUGAGAGUUUGAUCCUGGCUCAGGACGAACGCUGGCGGCGUGCCUAAUACAUGCAAGUAGAACGCUGAAGGAGGAGCUUGCUUCUCUGGAUGAGUUGCGAACGGGUGAGUAACGCGUAGGUAACCUGCCUGGUAGCGGGGGAUAACUAUUGGAAACGAUAGCUAAUACCGCAUAAGAGUGGAUGUUGCAUGACAUUUGCUUAAAAGGUGCACUUGCAUCACUACCAGAUGGACCUGCGUUGUAUUAGCUAGUUGGUGGGGUAAGGGCUCACCAAGGCGACGAUACAUAGCCGACCUGAGAGGGUGAUCGGCCACACUGGGACUGAGACACGGCCCAGACUCCUACGGGAGGCAGCAGUAGGGAAUCUUCGGCAAUGGACGGAAGUCUGACCGAGCAACGCCGCGUGAGUGAAGAAGGUUUUCGGAUCGUAAAGCUCUGUUGUAAGAGAAGAACGAGUGUGAGAGUGGAAAGUUCACACUGUGACGGUAUCUUACCAGAAAGGGACGGCUAACUACGUGCCAGCAGCCGCGGUAAUACGUAGGUCCCGAGCGUUGUCCGGAUUUAUUGGGCGUAAAGCGAGCGCAGGCGGUUAGAUAAGUCUGAAGUUAAAGGCUGUGGCUUAACCAUAGUAGGCUUUGGAAACUGUUUAACUUGAGUGCAAGAGGGGAGAGUGGAAUUCCAUGUGUAGCGGUGAAAUGCGUAGAUAUAUGGAGGAACACCGGUGGCGAAAGCGGCUCUCUGGCUUGUAACUGACGCUGAGGCUCGAAAGCGUGGGGAGCAAACAGGAUUAGAUACCCUGGUAGUCCACGCUGUAAACGAUGAGUGCUAGGUGUUAGACCCUUUCCGGGGUUUAGUGCCGUAGCUAACGCAUUAAGCACUCCGCCUGGGGAGUACGACCGCAAGGUUGAAACUCAAAGGAAUUGACGGGGGCCCGCACAAGCGGUGGAGCAUGUGGUUUAAUUCGAAGCAACGCGAAGAACCUUACCAGGUCUUGACAUCCCUCUGACGACUCUAGAGAUAGAGUUUUCCUUCGGGACAGAGGUGACAGGUGGUGCAUGGUUGUCGUCAGCUCGUGUCGUGAGAUGUUGGGUUAAGUCCCGCAACGAGCGCAACCCCUAUUGUUAGUUGCCAUCAUUUAGUUGGGCACUCUAGCGAGACUGCCGGUAAUAAACCGGAGGAAGGUGGGGAUGACGUCAAAUCAUCAUGCCCCUUAUGACCUGGGCUACACACGUGCUACAAUGGCUGGUACAACGAGUCGCAAGCCGGUGACGGCAAGCUAAUCUCUUAAAGCCAGUCUCAGUUCGGAUUGUAGGCUGCAACUCGCCUACAUGAAGUCGGAAUCGCUAGUAAUCGCGGAUCAGCACGCCGCGGUGAAUACGUUCCCGGGCCUUGUACACACCGCCCGUCACACCACGAGAGUUUGUAACACCCGAAGUCGGUGAGGUAACCGUAAGGAGCCAGCCGCCUAAGGUGGGAUAGAUGAUUGGGGUGAAGUCGUAACAAGGUAGCCGUAUCGGAAGGUGCGGCUGGAUCACCU